rnacentral:rRNA from 1 species
UGGGGAAUCUUGCACAAUGGGGGAAACCCUGAUGCAGCCAUGCCGCGUGGAGGAAGACACCCCUAUGGGGCGUAAACUCCUUUUCCGAGAGAAGAAGCACCUGUAGGUUCAGGGUGUGACGGUAUCUCAGGAAUAAGCACCGGCUAACUCCGUGCCAGCAGCCGCGGUAAUACGGCGGGUGCAAGCGUUGUCCGGAAUCACUGGGCGUAAAGGGUGCGCAGGCGGGGCAGCAAGUCGGAGGUGAAAGCCCGUGGCUCAACCAUGGAAGUGCCGUCGAUACUGUUGCUCUUGAGUCCCGGAGAGGUUGUCGGAAUUCGUGGUGUAGCGGUGAAAUGCGUAGAUAUCACGAGGAACACCAGAGGCGAAAGCGGACAACUGGACGGGUACUGACGCUCAGGCACGAAAGCGUGGGGAGCAAACA